rnacentral:rRNA from 1 species
GAUAAACGUUGGCGGCGUGCCUAAUGCAUGCAAGUCGCACGAAGGCUUCGGCCUUAGUGGCGGACGGGUGAGUAACACGUACGAAUCUGCCCGGAGGUGGGGGACAACUUUCCGAAAGGGAAGCUAAUACCGCAUACGGUCUACGGACCAAAGCCGAAAGGCGCCACCGGAGGAGCGUGCGGCGGAUUAGCUAGUUGGUGGGGUAACGGCCUACCAAGGCGACGAUCCGUAGCUGGUCUGAGAGGAUGGUCAGCCACACUGGGACUGAGAUACGGCCCAGACUCCUACGGGAGGCAGCAGCAAGGAAUUUUGCACAAUCGACGCAAGUCGGAUGCAGCAACGCCGCGUGGGGGAUGAAGGCUCUAGGGUUGUAAACCCCUUUUGCGAGGGAAGAAGAUCUGACGGUACCUCGCGAAUAAGUCACGGCUAACUACGUGCCAGCAGCCGCGGUAAUACGUAGGUGGCGAACGUUGUCCGGAUUCACUGGGCGUAAAGCGCGCGCAGGCGGACUGAUAAGUCAGAGGUGAAAUCUCCCGGCUCAACUGGGAGGGGCCCUUUGAUACUGUCAGUCUUGAGGCACCUAGAGGAGAGUGGAAUUCCCGGUGUAGUGGUGGAAUGCGUAGAUAUCGGGAGGAACACCAGUGGCGAAAGCGACUCUCUGGGGGUGACCUGACGCUGAGGCGCGAAAGCGUGGGGAGCAAACGGGAUUAGAUACCCCGGUAGUCCACGCCGUAAACGAUGAGUACUAGCUGUCUGGGGUAUCGACUCCCUGGGUAGCGAAGCUAACGCGAUAAGUACUCCGCCUGGGGACUACGACCGCAAGGUUA